rnacentral:lncRNA from 1 species
CUCACUCGCAAGGCCUCAUAUUACACAGAGUAAAGCGAUCCCAGGCAUCCAUUCCUGUAUUGAUCAGCAAAUAGGUCCUUAUAUAGAUUGAGUUCACCUAACCUUGUUUAAUUUUGGAUUCAUUGAUUCAAUGCAAAGAUCUAGAUGAAAAGCAAGUGGGCUGUUUCCAGCGAUGGUGAUGCUAUUUUUAAAUAAAUCUAGUGCAUGCUAAAAUAAAUAUGCAAAGCGUUUUGUAAGUCCAUAUAUGGGUGGGGAAGAGGAGACCAGAUGUACUAAAAUAUUUAACAAACUUUUUCUUGAUUUCUGGAAAGCCAUGUUUUAUUUAGUAAAUGCCAGAGAAAUCUGAUCUAAUCCAAUAUUUGCUCUGACGGGCUGUCCCGAGCCCCUAGCCCAGCACGGGUAGCUAUGCGGGACCUUGGAAGAACCGUCUGCACAGUGACAUAGUCGCCACAUUUAAAUGCAAAGCUCAUUAACCGCGUCUGGGAUUUUUUGUCUGUUUGUUUGUUUCUUUUUUGUUUUGGCGUUCGUUACAAGCACGAGAGAUGAAACAUCCAUCUAGAAUUCCCUUUCAUCUCCAGGCGUGUUUUUCUUCCUUGCUCAGAUGACAAAGUUUCCCCUUCGAAAUUUUAUUUGACUUUGCAAGAUGAGAAAGAACUAAGAGCAUCUCCUUGUGGGCUGAGCGCCCCUGCCUCUCGCCAGGAUCCUCCGGGAGGAGAGGGAGAAGCGGCGAAGAGGAGGGCACGGGGAAGUCCCAGCACUUGGCCCCUCUGCAGGUGCCCACGCUGCAGGCUUCAGCCGCCUUCCCGUGCCCUGACAUCACGCGGGAAAUUGAAAUCUCCCAUAUUUCAAUCCAACCCAACUUAAUUGAGUUGCGGUUUCGAUCAGAUCUGACAGCGGCAGAGCUCCUGCAGAUAAGCAGACGCCAAUGGGUGACCCGGUGGUGGGGGUUGGCUAGAGCCAAAGCCAGCAGCAGACCGGCUGCCCGUGGGACCUCAUUCGAGGCUCGCCAAUCGCCUUCCCUGUCUGGUGCUGGCGGUUCCCAGCGCCACGCGGCUGCAGGAUCGGCAUCGCAGGUUGGCACAGCGAGCCUGCACCACGGCCAGCAAAGAUGGACAGUGUCUUUCUGCGCGGGAGGAAGAGAUCACCAAUCAUCAUGCUGGAGAGAAACUUGAAAGCUUUGCUUGGUUCCCAGGGAAGGUGGGAGACACAGCUCCUCGGCGCUCGCCUCUGUGAAUGAUCAAGGCUCUGCAGUAUGCUGGGCACAGCGGAGAAAAAAGGAGGAGGAAAAGGAAAGUCUACACCUAGACACCUUGGAUUAAACCAGCUGUUUUCCCUUAAAUUCCACUGGCUUUUCUGUGUGUUUUUUUUUUUUCUUCUUCUUCUCACCAGGGUGCCGGACUGAGAAUCAAGACUGCUAAUUUCAAAGACUUUCAUUUGCUUGUCUUUUAUUGCUGAUUGUUUUUUUCCUCCCCGCUUUACAGCAUGUUUUCAUAACUUAUUCCUUUAGAGGUGCCAAAGUAUUUGACUCAUAGGAAACAAACCCAAAAAGGCUUGGGCCCUGUUUCAGUGUGGCCACCGGUCCAUAGGUUUCAGUGGAUUCCUGCUCUACUGAAGGUCUCUGCUUUCCAACGUUUCUAACGCUAACUGAGGGCAGCAUCUUCUCUCUGUGGGCUCACAACUGUGCUUUGAUGCCUCUGGUCUCCUUGAAUGUACUUAUGGGUGUUAAUUACACCAACACUUGUCAACAGCAAUAUUGAUGUUUUGUUCUUUUCUUUUCACAAUUUUUUUUCCUGUUCAAUUUUAAAGGCCUGAUUGCUUUGUCAUUGGUCAUCUCCUCCGACCGCCAUGCUGGGACAGCACACAGAGCCUGUGUGUUGGUGCAGUCCAGCCUGGACCCUGGUAGAUGGGCAGUACAUGGGGUGUCUCGUGUCCGUCAAACUCAGGGGAGGACCACUGUUUUUUCCCGGAGGAUUUGAAAUCAAGGCUGAUCUAGUGCAUCCUUAUAACUCUAAAUCCUCAAAGCUAGUCUUUCCUCCACUGCAAAGAUCACUCCGGUAUAUGCUGCUGCUUUAAGCAAGAUGGCAGGAGGGUUCCUUCAGGUGUGAGUGUUUGGGCUGGCUUGGCUGACUGUGGAUGAGCAGCAACUUCCCCAGGGCACAGGCUGGUGGGACU